UACGUAGGUGGCGAGCGUUGUCCGGAUUUACUGGGCGUAAAGAGCGCGCAGGCGGUCGUAUAAGUCGCGUGUGAAAGCCCCCGGCUCAACUGGGGAGGGUCACGCGAUACUGCUCGACUUGAAGGCAGGAGAGGGAAGUGGAAUUCCCGGUGUAGUGGUGAAAUGCGUAGAUAUCGGGAGGAACACCGGUGGCGAAGGCGGCGACCUGGGUAGAUACUGACGCUGAGGUGCGAAAGCGUGGGGAGCAAACAGG
rnacentral:rRNA from 1 species